rnacentral:rRNA from 1 species
AAUCAACGCUGGCGGCGUGCCUAACACAUGCAAGUCGAACGCGAAAGCCCCGCAAGGGGUAAGGUAGAGUGGCAAACGGGUGAGUAACACGUGGGUGACCUGCCUUCGAGUGGGGGAGUAACGUCCCGAAAGGGACGCUAAUACCGCAUAACAUCCUGCCUUUUAAGUAGGUGGACAUCAAAGCUGGGGAGUCGCAAGACCUAGCGCUUGACGAGGGGCCCGCGCCUGAUUAGCUAGUUGGGNGGGGUAAGUGGCUCACC